rnacentral:rRNA from 1 species
UUAAGCGACUAAGCGUACACGGUGGAUGCCCUGGCAGUCAGAGGCGAUGAAGGACGUGCUAAUCUGCGAAAAGCGUCGGUAAGGUGAUAUGAACCGUUAUAACCGGCGAUGUCCGAAUGGGGAAACCCAGUGUGAUUCGUCACACUAUCGUUAACUGAAUACAUAGGUUAACGAGGCGAACCGGGGGAACUGAAACAUCUAAGUACCCCGAGGAAAAGAAAUCAACCGAGAUUCCCCCAGUAGCGGCGAGCGAACGGGGAGCAGCCCAGAGUCUGAAUCAGCUUGUGUGUUAGUGGAACGGUCUGGAAAGUCCGACGGUACAGGGUGAUAGUCCCGUACACCAAAAUGCACAGGCUGUGAACUCGAAGAGUAGGGCGGGACACGUGGUAUCCUGUCUGAAUAUGGGGGGACCAUCCUCCAAGGCUAAAUACUCCUGACUGACCGAUAGUGAACCAGUACCGUGAGGGAAAGGCGAAAAGAACCCCGGCGAGGGGAGUGAAAAAGAACCUGAAACCGUGUACGUACAAGCAGUGGGAGCACCUUUAUGGUGUGACUGCGUACCUUUUGUAUAAUGGGUCAGCGACUUAUAUUCUGUAGCAAGGUUAACCGUAUAGGGGAGCCGCAGGGAAACCGAGUCUUAACUGGGCGUUAAGUUGCAGGGUAUAGACCCGAAACCCGGUGAUCUAGCCAUGGGCAGGUUGAAGGUUGGGUAACACUAACUGGAGGACCGAACCGACUAAUGUUGAAAAAUUAGCGGAUGACUUGUGGCUGGGGGUGAAAGGCCAAUCAAACCGGGAGAUAGCUGGUUCUCCCCGAAAGCUAUUUAGGUAGCGCCUCGUGAACUCAUCUUCGGGGGUAGAGCACUGUUUCGGCUAGGGGGUCAUCCCGACUUACCAACCCGAUGCAAACUACGAAUACCGAAGAAUGUUAUCACGGGAGACACACGGCGGGUGCUAACGUCCGUCGUGAAGAGGGAAACAACCCAGACCGCCAGCUAAGGUCCCAAAGUCAUGGUUAAGUGGGAAACGAUGUGGGAAGGCACAGACAGCCAGGAUGUUGGCUUAGAAGCAGCCAUCAUUUAAAGAAAGCGUAAUAGCUCACUGGUCGAGUCGGCCUGCGCGGAAGAUGUAACGGGGCUAAACCAUGCACCGAAGCUGCGGCAGCGACGCUUAUGCGUUGUUGGGUAGGGGAGCGUUCUGUAAGCCUGCGAAGGUGGCCUGUGAGGGUUGCUGGAGGUAUCAGAAGUGCGAAUGCUGACAUAAGUAACGAUAAAGCGGGUGAAAAGCCCGCUCGCCGGAAGACCAAGGGUUCCUGUCCAACGUUAAUCGGGGCAGGGUGAGUCGACCCCUAAGGCGAGGCCGAAAGGCGUAGUCGAUGGGAAACAGGUUAAUAUUCCUGUACUUGGUGUUACUGCGAAGGGGGGACGGAGAAGGCUAUGUUAGCCGGGCGACGGUUGUCCCGGUUUAAGCAUGUAGGCUGGUUAUCCAGGCAAAUCCGGAUAAUCAAGGCUGAGGUGUGAUGACGAGGCACUACGGUGCUGAAGUAACAAAUGCCCUGCUUCCAGGAAAAGCCUCUAAGCAUCAGGUAACAUCAAAUCGUACCCCAAACCGACACAGGUGGUCAGGUAGAGAAUACCAAGGCGCUUGAGAGAACUCGGGUGAAGGAACUAGGCAAAAUGGUGCCGUAACUUCGGGAGAAGGCACGCUGGUGUGUAGGUGAAGCCCCUGCGGGUGGAGCUGAGACCAGUCGAAGAUACCAGCUGGCUGCAACUGUUUAUUAAAAACACAGCACUGUGCAAACACGAAAGUGGACGUAUACGGUGUGACGCCUGCCCGGUGCCGGAAGGUUAAUUGAUGGGGUUAUCCGUAAGGAGAAGCUCUUGAUCGAAGCCCCGGUAAACGGCGGCCGUAACUAUAACGGUCCUAAGGUAGCGAAAUUCCUUGUCGGGUAAGUUCCGACCUGCACGAAUGGCGUAAUGAUGGCCAGGCUGUCUCCACCCGAGACUCAGUGAAAUUGAACUCGCUGUGAAGAUGCAGUGUACCCGCGGCAAGACGGAAAGACCCCGUGAACCUUUACUAUAGCUUGACACUGAACAUUGAGCCUUGAUGUGUAGGAUAGGUGGGAGGCUUUGAAGCGUGGACGCCAGUCUGCGUGGAGCCAACCUUGAAAUACCACCCUUUAAUGUUUGAUGUUCUAACGUUGGCCCCUUACCGGGGUUGCGGACAGUGUCUGGUGGGUAGUUUGACUGGGGCGGUCUCCUCCCAAAGCGUAACGGAGGAGCACGAAGGUUAGCUAAUCCUGGUCGGACAUCAGGAGGUUAGUGCAAUGGCAUAAGCUAGCUUGACUGCGAGCGUGACGGCGCGAGCAGGUGCGAAAGCAGGUCAUAGUGAUCCGGUGGUUCUGAAUGGAAGGGCCAUCGCUCAACGGAUAAAAGGUACUCCGGGGAUAACAGGCUGAUACCGCCCAAGAGUUCAUAUCGACGGCGGUGUUUGGCACCUCGAUGUCGGCUCAUCACAUCCUGGGGCUGAAGUAGGUCCCAAGGGUAUGGCUGUUCGCCAUUUAAAGUGGUACGCGAGCUGGGUUUAGAACGUCGUGAGACAGUUCGGUCCCUAUCUGCCGUGGGCGCUGGAGAAUUGAGGGGGGCUGCUCCUAGUACGAGAGGACCGGAGUGGACGCAUCACUGGUGUUCGGGUUGUCAUGCCAAUGGCACUGCCCGGUAGCUAAAUGCGGAAGAGAUAAGUGCUGAAAGCAUCUAAGCACGAAACUUGCCCCGAGAUGAGUUCUCCCUGAGACUUUAAGUCUCCUGAAGGAACGUUGAAGACGACGACGUUGAUAGGCCGGGUGUGUAAGCGCAGCGAUGCGUUGAGCUAACCGGUACUAAUGAACCGUGAGGCUUAACCU